UGGGGAAUAUUGGGCAAUGGGGGCAACCCUGAUCCAGCCAUGCCGCGUGUGUGAAGAAGGCCUUUUGGUUGUAAAGCACUUUAAGCGAGGAGGAGGAGCUCUAGAUUAAUACUCUAGAUGCUUGGACGUUACUCGCAGAAUAAGCACCGGCUAACUCUGUG
rnacentral:rRNA from 1 species